AUUGAACGCUGGCGGCAGGCCUAACACAUGCAAGUCGAGCGGAUGAAGGGAGCUUGCUCCUGGAUUCAGCGGCGGACGGGUGAGUAAUGCCUAGGAAUCUGCCUGGUAGUGGGGGAUAACGUCCGGAAACGGGCGCUAAUACCGCAUACGUCCUGAGGGAGAAAGUGGGGGAUCUUCGGACCUCACGCUAUCAGAUGAGCCUAGGUCGGAUUAGCUAGUUGGUGGGGUAAAGGCCUACCAAGGCGACGAUCCGUAACUGGUCUGAGAGGAUGAUCAGUCACACUGGAAAUGAGACACGGGCCAGACCCCUACGGGGGGCAGCAGGGGGGAAUAUUGGAAAAUGGGCGAAAGCCUGAACCAGCCAGGCCGGGGGGGUGAAGAAGGUCUUGGGAUUGUAAAGCACUUUAAGUUGGGAGGAAGGGCAGUAAGUUAAAACCUUGCUGUUUUGACGUUACCAACAAAAAAAGAACCGGCCAACUUCGG
rnacentral:rRNA from 1 species